UUAAGUUAAUAAGGGCGCACGGUGGAUGCCUUGGCACUAGGAGCCGACGAAGGACGUGACAAACGACGAUAUGCCUUGGGUAGCUGUAAGUAAGCGAUGAUCCAGGGAUUUCCGAAUGGGGGAACCCAACAGGUAAUACCUGUUACCUACAUCUGUUAAGGAUGUGAGGAGGAAGACGCAGUGAACUGAAACAUCUAAGUAGCUGCAGGAAGAGAAAGCAAAAGCGAUUGCCUUAGUAGCGGCGAGCGAAACGGCAGAAGGGCAAACCGAAGAGUUUACUCUUCGGGGUUGUAGGACUGCAAUGUGGACUCAAAGAUUAUAGAAGAAUGAUUUGGGAAGAUCAGCCAAAGAGAGUAAUAGCCUCGUAUUUAAAAUAGUCUUUGUACUUAGCAGUAUCCUGAGUACGGCGGGACACGUGAAAUCCCGUCGGAAUCUGGGAGGACCAUCUCCCAACCCUAAAUACUCCCUAGUGACCGAUAGUGAACCAGUACCGUGAGGGAAAGGUGAAAAGCACCCCGGGAGGGGAGUGAAAUAGAACCUGAAACCGUGUGCCUACAACAAGUUCGAGCCCGUUAAUGGGUGAGAGCGUGCCUUUUGUAGAAUGAACCGGCGAGUUACGUUAUGAUGCGAGGUUAAGUUGAAGAGACGGAGCCGUAGGGAAACCGAGUCUGAAUAGGGCGCCUUAGUAUCAUGACGUAGACCCGAAACCAUGUGACCUACCCAUGAGCAGGUUGAAGGUGCGGUAAGACGCACUGGAGGACCGAACCAGGGCACGUUGAAAAGUGCUUGGAUGACUUGUGGGUAGCGGAGAAAUUCCAAACGAACUUGGAGAUAGCUGGUUCUCUCCGAAAUAGCUUUAGGGCUAGCGUCGACAUUAGAGAUUCUUGGAGGUAGAGCACUGUUUGGGUGAGGGGUCCAUCCCGGAUUACCAAUCUCAGAUAAACUCCGAAUGCCAAUGAAUUAUGGUCGGCAGUCAGACUGCGAGUGCUAAGAUCCGUAGUCGAAAGGGAAACAGCCCAGACCACCAGCUAAGGUCCCAAAAUAAUUGUUAAGUGGAAAAGGAUGUGGGGUGCACAGACAACUAGGAUGUUAGCUUAGAAGCAGCUAUUCAUUCAAAGAGUGCGUAAUAGCUCACUAGUCGAGUGACCCUGCGCCGAAAAUGUACCGGGGCUAAAACAAUUUACCGAAGCUGUGGAUACCUUUAUAGGUAUGGUAGGAGAGCGUUCUAUGUGUGAUGAAGGUAUACCGUGAGGAGUGCUGGAACGCAUAGAAGUGAGAAUGCCGGUAUGAGUAGCGAAAGACAGGUGAGAAUCCUGUCCACCGUAAGACUAAGGUUUCCAGGGGAAGGCUCGUCCGCCCUGGGUUAGUCGGGACCUAAGGAGAGACCGAAAGGUGUAUCCGAUGGACAACAGGUUGAUAUUCCUGUACUAGAGUAUGUAGUGAUGGAGGGACGCAGUAGGCUAACUAAAGCAGACGAUUGGAAGAGUCUGUCUAAGCAGUGAGGUGUGAAUUGAGUCAAAUGCUUAAUUCUAUAACAUUGAGCUGUGAUGGGGAGCGAAGUUUAGUAGCGAAGUUAGUGACGUCACACUGCCAAGAAAAGCUUCUAGCGUUUAAACAUACUCUACCCGUACCGCAAACCGACACAGGUAGUCGAGGCGAGUAGCCUCAGGUGAGGGGAGAACUCUCGUUAAGGAACUCGGCAAAAUGACCCCGUAACUUCGGGAGAAGGGGUGCUGACUUAAAGUCAGCCGCAGUGAAUAGGCCCAAGCAACUGUUUAUCAAAAACACAGCUCUCUGCUAAAUCGUAAGAUGAUGUAUAGGGGGGACGCCUGCCCGGUGCUGGAAGGUUAAGAGGAGUGCUUAGCGUAAGCGAAGGUAUGAAUUGAAGCCCCAGUAAACGGCGGCCGUAACUAUAACGGUCCUAAGGUAGCGAAAUUCCUUGUCGGGUAAGUUCCGCCCGCACGAAAGGCGUAAUGAUUUGGGCACUGUCUCAACGAGAGACUCGGUGAAAUUUUAGUACCUGUGAAGAUGCAGGUUACCCGCGACAGGACGGAAAGACCCCAUGGAGCUUUACUGCAGUUUGAUAUUGAGUGUCUGUACCACAUGUACAGGAUAGGUAGGAGUCUAAGAGAUCGGGACGCCAGUUUCGAAGGAGACGCUGUUGGGAUACUACCCUUGUGUUAUGGCCACUCUAACCCAGAUAGGUGAUCCCUAUCGGAGACAGUGUCUGACGGGCAGUUUGACUGGGGCGGUCGCCUCCUAAAAGGUAACGGAGGCGCCCAAAGGUUCCCUCAGAAUGGUUGGAAAUCAUUCGCAGAGUGUAAAGGUAUAAGGGAGCUUGACUGCGAGAGCUACAACUCGAGCAGGGACGAAAGUCGGGCUUAGUGAUCCGGUGGUUCCGUAUGGAAGGGCCAUCGCUCAACGGAUAAAAGCUACCCUGGGGAUAACAGGCUUAUCUCCCCCAAGAGUUCACAUCGACGGGGAGGUUUGGCACCUCGAUGUCGGCUCGUCGCAUCCUGGGGCUGUAGUCGGUCCCAAGGGUUGGGCUGUUCGCCCAUUAAAGCGGCACGCGAGCUGGGUUCAGAACGUCGUGAGACAGUUCGGUCCCUAUCCGUCGCGGGCGUAGGAAAUUUGAGAGGAUCUGCUCCUAGUACGAGAGGACCAGAGUGGACUUACCGCUGGUGUACCAGUUGUCUUGCCAAAGGCAUCGCUGGGUAGCUAUGUAGGGAAGGGAUAAACGCUGAAAGCAUCUAAGUGUGAAACCCACCUCAAGAUGAGAUUUCCCAUGAUUAUAUAUCAGUAAGAGCCCUGAGAGAUGAUCAGGUAGAUAGGUUAGAAGUGGAAGUGUGGCGACACAUGUAGCGGACUAAUACUAAUAGCUCGAGGACUUAUCCAA
rnacentral:rRNA from 1 species